rnacentral:rRNA from 1 species
UACAGAGGGGGCAAGCGUUGUUCGGAAUUACUGGGCGUAAAGGGCGCGUAGGCGGCCUGUUAAGUCGAACGUGAAAUCCCUGGGCUCAACCCAGGAACUGCGUCCGAUACUGGCAGGCUUGAAUCCGGGAGAGGGAUGCGGAAUUCCAGGUGUAGCGGUGAAAUGCGUAGAUAUCUGGAGGAACACCGGCGGCGAAGGCGGCUGCCUGGACCAGUCCUGACGCUGAGGCGCGAAAGCUAGGGGAGCAAACAGG